GGUUGGCACAGGCUGCACAUGCAACCUGCUGGGCACAAAUCCGCAGCAGUGCCCAUCUCCUGACCAGUGCCACUGUGAUCCAAGCAGUGGGCAGUGCCCAUGCCUCCCCAAUGUCCAGGGCCCUAGCUGUGACCGCUGUGCCCCCAACUUCUGGAACCUCACCAGUGGCCAUGGUUGCCAGCCUUGUGCCUGCCACCCAAGCCGGGCCAGAGGCCCCACCUGCAACGAGGUAUGGGACCCUCCUGCAGAUCCCUGGUUAGAUGGGGCCAGGUGUCUGUCUUAUCUCCAGGGCUUAGCCUCUUAUAGAGGCUCUGACCCUGCCUUGUUCCCACCCCAGUUCACAGGGCAGUGCCACUGCCGUGCCGGCUUUGGAGGGCGGACUUGUUCUGAGUGCCAAGAGCUCCACUGGGGAGACCCUGGGUUGCAGUGCCAUGCCUGUGAUUGUGACUCUCGUGGAAUAGAUACACCUCAGUGUCACCGCUUCACAGGUCACUGCAGCUGCCGCCCAGGGGUGUCUGGUGUGCGCUGUGACCAGUGUGCCCGUGGCUUCUCAGGAAUCUUUCCUGCCUGCCAUCC
rnacentral:lncRNA from 1 species